CGGGGUGCAGCAGGCGCGAAAACUCCACAAUGUACGAAAGUACGAUGGGGUUACCUCGAGUGCAGUCCGAUAAGGGCUGCUUUUCCAUAGAGUAAUAUCCUGUGGGAAUAAGAGGGGGGCAAGACUGGUGUCAGCCGCCGCGGUAACACCAGCCCCUCGAGUGGUGGGGAUUAUUAUUUGGCCUAAAGCGUCCGUAGCUGGCUGUGUCAGUCCCCCGUUAAAUCCAGCGUCCUAAGCGUUGGACUGCGGGUGAUACCACACAGCUAGAGGGUGGGAUAGGUGAGCGGUAUUUCUGGGGUAGGGGCGAAAUCCUUUGAUCCCAGGAGGACCACCAGUGGCGAAGGCUGCUCACUAGAACACGCCUGACGGUCAGGGACGAAAGCUGGGGCAGCGAACCGGAUUAGAUACCCGGGUAGUCCCAGCUGUUAACGAUGCUAGCUAGGUGUUGGGUCGGCCACGUGCCGCCCCAGUGCCGCAGUGAAUCCGUGCCACUCGCAGCUUGGGGAUUACGGCCGCAAGCAUGAAAAAGAAAGGACAUCGGCGGGGACCACAAGGGCAAUUCGGGC
rnacentral:rRNA from 1 species